rnacentral:rRNA from 1 species
CAGUAGCCGCGGUAAUACGAAGGGGGCUAGCGUUGUUCGGAUUUACUGGGCGUAAAGGGCGCGUAAGCGGACUGAUAAGUCAGGGGUGAAAUCCCAAGGCUCAACCUUGGAACUGCCUUUGAUACUGUUUGUCUUGAGUUCGAGAGAGGUAAGUGGAACUGCGAGUGUAGAGGUGAAAUUCGUAGAUAUUCGCAAGAACACCAGUGGCGAAGGCGGCUUACUGGCUCGAAACUGACGCUGAGGCGCGAAAGCGUGGGGAGCAAACAGGAUUAGAUACCCGUGUAGUCCCUGUCUCUUAUAA